rnacentral:rRNA from 1 species
GAUGAACGCUGGCGGCGUGCUUAACACAUGCAAGUCGAACGAAGCACUUUAUUUGAUUUCCUUCGGGACUGAUUAUUUUGUGACUGAGUGGCGGACGGGUGAGUAACGCGUGGGUAACCUGCCUUGUACAGGGGGAUAACAGUUGGAAACGGCUGCUAAUACCGCAUAAGCGCACAGCAUCGCAUGAUGCAGUGUGAAAAACUCCGGUGGUAUAAGAUGGACCCGCGUUGGAUUAGCUAGUUGGUGAGGUAACGGCCCACCAAGGCGACGAUCCAUAGCCGACCUGAGAGGGUGUCCGGCCACGUUGGGACUGAGACACGGCCCAAACUCCUACGGGAGGCAGCAGUGGGGAAUAUUGCACAAUGGGAGAAAGCCUGAUGCAGCGACGCCGCGUGAGCGAAGAAGUAUUUCGGUAUGUAAAGCUCUAUCAGCAGGGAAGAUAAUGACGGUACCUGACUAAGAAGCACCGGCUAAAUACGUG